UGCAAGUCGAACGAUGAAGCCCAGCUUGCUGGGUGGAUUAGUGGCGAACGGGUGAGUAACACGUGAGUAACCUGCCCCCGACUCUGGGAUAAGCCCGGGAAACUGGGUCUAAUACCGGAUAUGACCUCGCACCGCAUGGUGCGGGGUGGAAAGAUUUAUCGGUGGGGGAUGGACUCGCGGCCUAUCAGCUUGUUGGUGAGGUAAUGGCUCACCAAGGCGACGACGGGUAGCCGGCCUGAGAGGGUGACCGGCCACACUGGGACUGAGACACGGCCCAGACUCCUACGGGAGGCAGCAGUGGGGAAUAUUGCACAAUGGGCGCAAGCCUGAUGCAGCGACGCCGCGUGAGGGAUGACGGCCUUCGGGUUGUAAACCUCUUUCAGUAGGGAAGAAGCGAAAGUGACGGUACCUGCAGAAGAAGCGCCGGCUAACUACGUGCCAGCAGCCGCGGUAAUACGUAGGGCGCAAGCGUUAUCCGGAUUUAUUGGGCGUAAAGAGCUCGUAGGCGGUUUGUCGCGUCUGCCGUGAAAGUCCGAGGCUCAACCUCGGAUCUGCGGUGGGUACGGGCAGACUAGAGUGAUGUAGGGGAGACUGGAAUUCCUGGUGUAGCGGUGAAAUGCGCAGAUAUCAGGAGGAACACCGAUGGCGAAGGCAGGUCUCUGGGCAUUUACUGACGCUGAGGAGCGAAAGCAUGGGGAGCGAACAGGAUUAGAUACCCUGGUAGUCCAUGCCGUAAACGUUGGGCACUAGGUGUGGGGGACAUUCCACGUUUUCCGCGCCGUAGCUAACGCAUUAAGUGCCCCGCCUGGGGAGUACGGCCGCAAGGCUAAAACUCAAAGGAAUUGACGGGGGCCCGCACAAGCGGCGGAGCAUGCGGAUUAAUUCGAUGCAACGCGAAGAACCUUACCAAGCUUGACAUGUGCCAGACCGCUCCAGAGAUGGGGUUUCCCUUCGGGGCUGGUUCACAGGUGGUGCAUGGUUGUCGUCAGCUCGUGUCGUGAG
rnacentral:rRNA from 1 species